GAGUUGCCAAGGAAUUCUUUACAGAAAAGCCACCUCAAGAGCCCAUUUUCCUUUCAGAUAGCUGUGCUUCCUUAACCCUUUUUUCCUUUUUUUUUUCCCAAGAGAAUGGCUAAGCAAAAUAGGUGUUCCAGGUAAAAGCCAACAGUUACCAUAUUUUUAAUUGGAGUUUAAUUCAUGCUACCUUCGUGUUUUAUGUAGGACACAUUGGAAGCACUGUUUUCUGUCACAGAUGAUUACUUUAUUAUUUAAUUCGAACCAGAAAAUAUUAGUUUAAAAGUCUUUAUUUUUUUUCAUAAACCUUUUGUUUAUCGAACCGGCGCGGGUCACCCGCCAUUUUGUGAAGCUCCCACAACCCCUGCACGGCAAUUAAUUGCCCGGGGGGGGGGUCUGGGCUGUUCCCUAACCCUUUGGGGCAAAGCGGCCGUGGCUCGACGUGGCUACCGGCACCCCGGGGCGCCGGGGAGAAGCCCCCCGGGGGCCGCACCCCCCCGGCCCGGCCCCGGCCGCCCGGUCACCCCGUCCCGCUCUGCCUCUGCCCGCAGCCGUCCCGCCGGCCCCGCAGGCGGGCUCCCGCCUGGCCGUCGCCGCCGCGCUGGUGAGCGGAGCCGUCAUCGCGGCGCUGGCCGCCGCCUUCGCCGUCUGCUGCUGGCGGGAGCGGGCACGGAGGAGUCGCGGCCCGGGGCGAGCGGCCGGCGGGGGGCAGCGGCAGCAGCCCCGGAGGAAGGGCGGGCGACGGGAGCGCGGCCCCUCGGCGGCGGAGAGCGGGAGGAGAGCCCUUGGGAGGCUGAGGCAGCACCACCGCCGCGAUUACCGCCUGUCGGCCUUCUCCAGCGCUGUGCUCCCGGGGGCACACGCAGGCUGCAGUAACCUGGCUUGCCAAAGGAGCUCAGAAAACCUGCCAAAGCUGCCCCUGCAGAGCUCAGGCCCUGGAGUGCAUCUCCUGCCCCCAUGGGCAGCACAGCCCCCCGCGGCACCCCACCGCCUGCUGCUGCCUGGGGGACCUGACUGCAUCGACCUCACCCGGGGCCUGCCUCCCGGCUGCUACAGAAGCUACGAAGAACACCAGCUCUUGCACAAGUUUGGGAGGCCAGUUUGAAAAUUUAAGCUGUCGUUCACAUCGCCCCUGCCCCCUUUUUUUUUUUCUUAAAAGAUCAAUUCCUUGAAGCUCCACAGAGCUCAGGAAAGAAUUUCACAAGAGCUGCACCUUGGUUUUCAAAUGGAGAAAAUUGGACACUCCAUGGUGAAAGGCUUUUUUGAUACCAUCCUUUUAUUGUUUCCUGUGUCCAGAAGUGCACAUUUCAAAGAAAUACCUCUGUUACCGGCUGCUUAAUUGAUCAUUUGCGUGAGAUGCAUGAAGCCGAGUUAGAACAACCCCAGUUUAAGUCAGAGGCUAAGCACGUGCAGAAUUUCAGGUUUUAAACACAAGAGUCUGAUUUGCUGUUUGGGGCUCUUUUGAAAGCUGAAAGUGAACAGUGAGUGCCAGUUACCAGAACAAGGAAUCUAUGUCAUUAGAUAAGUGGAAGCAUUUGCAAUUCAUUGCACUUGAAUGGAGGCUGAGAUUUAAAGUUUUUCCUGUUGUUCAGAACUUGCAACAUCCUCCCAUUGCUGUAGUCAAUCUUGGACUUGCAAGAUGCAAUGACAAGUGGGUAAAGAUAACCAGUCAAGAGGAAAACAUGAAUUUAUCCUUAAUACAAAAGACCUAGCACAUUUAAAACAACUUGGGAUUUUUCAUCGCUUUUCUCCUGCAUUAGAAAUUCACGUCACAUGUAUCAGGACCAACAGCAGUGCCUGAAGAGCUAGCAUAAGUACUGUAAUUUGCAUUCAGAAGGCAACAACACCCAUAAUUCUGUCCAGGAUUUCCUGCGUGGAAACAUAGGGGCACAUCCCAGGCAACCACCCACAGAGCCUGGCCAGCAGACCUGGGCAUACAUAACAUGCCUGACACGUGCUGGGCACACCAGGCUUGAGAAACAUGGCCUCAGAAGUGCGCAGGGAUGCUCUUCGUAUCUCGGGAGUGACUACUGAAUUAGUCAAGAGGUGCUGGCAGCCCCAAAGUUGCUGGAUGCGCAGGGCAGGGAAUAAGAACAAGCACCCAGAACAUGAACCACGAGCAUCGCUACCAUCCAGCGCUCAAAGGUACAAACUCAAAGUGUCCUGCUACAAAGGCUGGGAGUUUUAGGCUGCCAACUCGGUUUCCAUCAACUUUUGCAUUACAUUUAAUUAAGGCUUCUUUCCUUGAAAAGAUGCGAGGUAGCACAUUUUUGUGAUAAAUGCAAGACCUACUUAGUAGACCUCCCUGGAAACACUGUUGCUUCUCCCUGGAAAGAGGGCUAGGGACACUUUUCUAUUUGUAGUAACAAUAAAGGAAUCUCUCCCCCUCUCCCCAUUCUACUUUUUGUGUCGUCUUUUCACACCACCACACAGCAGAAAGACUGGUCUGGGGGCUGGCUGUCAAUGGGGGGAGGCAGGAGGUGCUAAAGCUUGUACGAUCCUUUUCAGAAGAGGAUGACACCUGAAGUGGCCGCUUACUAGUAACCAUACUGCAAGGAAGAAAAGCUUUUCAUUCCCAUAAAACAACUGAAGCUGCAGAAAGGACAGGAAAAACAAGACUUGCCCUGUGUUUCCCUUCAUCUCCUGUCCUAACUUUACCUUUUUCUCUCCCUCUUUCCAACCAAGCCUAACACACAGCCCCACGAACAGACUGCAGAGACACCCUGAGUCAGUCCCCAGUAAGCAUCAGGCCUGUCCAGCGCUCCCCGCAUGGCCCCAAAGUGCUCCCCAGUGGAGGAAUUUCUGCACAGACCUCUUGCAGAAAACACGCUUGCUUGUCAGGAAACAGCAGCGACUUUGGACGCAGUGCUAAGGGUGGCUCAGCUCUCAGGAGCACCCUGGCACGCCCAUUGGUGCCAUAUCCACAGGCUAUGCUCUAUCGCUGUUUUGCUGAAAUAUAUUUUUAGUGCGGGGAUUCAGCACAGGAUCUGCUCUGGGAACAGUGUUUCCCAGUUUCUUCUCCCUUCUUGUCGGAAGGGAGACGAAACCAGAAAAAAAGAAGGGAAACAGAAGAACGUAAUGAGUUUUUUUUAUAUCUUUCUCUUCUUUUCCUCUCCCCUAUCAUGGUUUAAGGAAAAAAUUUAAAUUCAUUACAGUUUCUCUUGUCUCCAAGAUCUUUGUGAAAAGAAAUACAGUUGGGGCACAUUCAGAGUUCACUUUUCCUUGGAUCCAAGCAAGGCUUUACAAACAAAAGUGGGAUUUUUUUUUUUUUGCUACAUAGAGAUUGAUACCUGCUUUCACUGCAAACUGCAAUGACGCACAUUUUAGAUAUAAAAUCUUUUGCCAAACAUAUCCAGAAUGAUGUCGAUUCUGAAGUGUCAUAACAAAAAGUUAACAUUUUCAAUAAACUGACACAGUAGUUUUUCAUAUGGAGAAAAAUGUCAACUUGAAACAAGCAUUUGAUGUGACUGAUAUUUAAAAAAAUUAUUUACCUGACAAAACUGAAAAGUUUCUUUAGGGGUAACAUUUACCUGACUUUUUUUUUUUUUUUUGAAAAGUUAAGAUUUCUACCACAAGAAAGUUGAUCCCAAGACUUGGCUCCGACAGCAGAUCCUCUAGCAGGAGGAACAGAGAGGCCUUCCUCAAAAUUCGUCUCAGACUGGCAGGGAACCAAAACCAAUGGAAGAAAGCUGGGUUGAGGGCAGGAAGCCCAACUUUACCACAAGUUCCCCUAUCAAUCCUUUCAUCUUUGCCUCGGUUCCUUCUCACCUUGCACCAGCACAGCAAAGGGCUGAGUUCAGUUUGCGAAGAGCCGUGCUCAGCUUCACCCCAGAAAGGCGACAGGAAUCACCACCUGCUUUUAUUCGCCCAGAGGAAGGUAGCUACGUAGAAGCUUCAAGUAAUUUGUGAACUGAAAAGAAAAAAUCCCUCCCAAGCCUGUAGUCCCACACAUUCUCACCACAAUUUGGUGGUUCUCCUUGGAGCCACCAUCUACCUAACCCUUCCUCAACGGGGCAGCACAUGCAGGCCUGCCCUUCCCACCACUUUCCCCUGCCAAGCACAAGACAAACUCCAACAUUCUCCACCCUAGGGAAUGGGAUUUCCAGCUAAGAUCCUGGCCUACCUACAGGGAAGCUGAAGCUCCAAGAAGUUUAGCUGUAAUAUUUUAUGCAGUAUCCAAUGCAAUAUCUAAUCAUUUUAAUUAUAUUUAUGCAGUGUCCAACACACAGGUGGGCCCUGGAACUAGAAGAAACCAACAGAGGAAGAAUGGAGAUGGCUGCAAGGUUGUCUCAUUGCCAAUUUCUGUCCCAAGCAAACAUGGCAAUCAGUUGCUCCCAGCUUAGUGCCCAAACAGAGAAUGCAUCCUCUUUUUUUUUUUUUUUUUUUAAACAGGAUAUUAAGCUUGAGAUCCCGCACUGUGAAACCUCAGCCUGCAUGCUUAUUUAGAAAUAGCCAACAAGUUUGGGUCACAGCUUUAAAUUCCUCAGAUAAGCUCACUGCAUCAGCCUUCUGUGGACUGUCAGCAUUGACAGAAGAGGUUUCAGACCCUCUCUGAAGAUCUGGGCAAGGUUAAUGCUGGGACCUGUAACAACGAAAUGUUAAAGCUAUGAAAUCCCAAGAAGCAUUCAUUGUGGUCCUGAAAAGAAUAGUGAACCUCGGCCAGACAUUGCUGAAAGGGCAAGAGAUUUGUAAAAUUUAAAAUUUUGUGGACUAGAGGGAAGAAAUAGUAAUCAGGCAAGAUUUCCCAGGAGAAAGUGCAUGCAAUGACUGUAUCCCACUUGAAAGACCUCAUCUCAUUUGUGUUCCAGGAGAUGGACUUGUGGAGCACCAGAGGUCAGGCACAUCAUCUCCCAUGGGUGGCUUAGAUUAACAAGUUUUCUAUAUUGCUUUCCUCCAGUGACAACACCUUUGUUCAGACGACUUUACCACACCUAGUAUUACUGCAUCAGCCCCACCCUGAACCAGUCCAUUUUCAUCAGCAAAGUCGGUGACAAAUCUGUUGCUGCCAGGAUCACCAAGCUGACCUUGAGCCUCCACUGUACCGAAGUAUGGACUUCUGCAUCCCCACAAGUGGGUCUAGGUCUCUGUACUUGUAGGGCAGGAGCUUCAUUUGGACAUUUCCAUCUCAAGAGCCUUCACUUUACCACAUAAACCUAACAGCAGUAAGCCUAGGGCAAAAGCAAACCCCAGAAAGAAGGGAAGAUGAAGAUCUUGCUCAUAUACAGGGCUCUCACAUGUAGACCAAAACAUACUGAGGUUACACCAUUUCUGACACUGUAUCCCAAAGCUAUGACAAUACAUCAUCUUUUCCCUCUUAGGAGCUUGGUUUACAGCAAAAGCCAUAAAUAGAAGAGGAUCUGAGAGCUGUCUCCCAUCGGUGGAAUGUUCCAAGGGAAAAAGAGGUGUUGGGAUUUGGGAGGAGAGGGAGGAACACCAGUCCUUACAGUUAGUACAGGCACAUUCAACAUGAAAACCUGAUAACAUAUCAGUGAAGCAGAAAGCAUUUCUAUAGCUAGACACAUAUUUGCACAGUGCUAGAAGAUGUGAAGCAGCAACUGUUGUUAACAGACGCAUUCAUGGCAAACAGCACUACACAUCAUCUCUGCUUUGUGAGCACUGAAAAUUCACGCCUGCUAGAGCUCAUUCCCCCCACGAAUUUAGCAGAACCUACGACCCCUUCAGGCAGGGCUGGUGACAGCUCCAGUGCAGUAUCCCUUGAAGCACUGUGCCACGUCUCAAUGCUCGAGACGCCUCAGUUCUGAGUAGUGAGAGUUUUUAAGAGAGUUUUUAUUCCAGCACUAUAGUUUUCCCCAAAGGGAUUAGUCUCAGGCAGUACAGUGCCCACCACUCAAUGGAUUUACAUAUGCUAGAGACCAACAACAAACCUAAGCUCCUUUACAACUUAUACCAUGCAUUCUGAGGCGAGUGACAGACAAGAACCACCAGGUAACCGGUCUAUGAUCUUUUCAAGUGUAUUUUCCUAAGCUCUCUUGCAAGGGUGAGGGAGGAAAUUGGUGCACGCCUUCCCCCACCACCCCAGGGAAUAAUGUGCUCAAGCCAAAGAAGUCUCCACAGCAGCACGAUCAGCUCUACGGAACUACAGAUCACUGCAUUGGCCCUAAAAUCCUGUAUCUUGAAUGCCUAUGAUUAAACAAGCAUCUCAGAUAAAAGCUUUUUGCAGAACAGAGUCUAUGAUUGGGGAAGGGAAAACUAAAAUUACGAGUUAAAGAACUUGAGUACAAACCACUCACUUCAUGAUUUAAAACUGUCACAGAAGUUGGCAAAGGUGCUUUAAGUAUGGUUAGAGCAGCCCUGUUGGGACACUGCAUUGGUAGGGGGACAGCUGCUCACACCUGAUGGGGGAGUAGAAAAUGGAUGUUAUAGAUGGAAAGAAAAUUCAUUCAAGGGCUCUUCACCUUACCUAGGAGCCAACAUACUCCUUGCUGUAACUCCAGAGAUUUGUAGUUUCCUUAUUAAAAGGGAGCCAUGAACCCUUAGUAUCAGCCCAGCACUGUUGACCCCAGAAUUACUACACCGGAACAGAAUUCCUUGAAAAUGCAGCAGAACUGAUACCAAUGCAUUCACAACUA